CCUACGGGAGGCAGCAGUGGGGGAUAUUGCACAAUGGGGGAAACCCUGAUGCAGCGACGCCGCGUGUGGGAAGACGGUCCUCUGUAUUGUAAACCACUGUCCCCGGGGACAAAAAUGACGGUACCUGGGGAGGAAGCUCCGGCUAACUCCGUACAAGCAGCCGCGGUAAUACUGAGGGAGCGACCGUUGUCCGAAUUUACUGGGGGUAAAGGGAGCGUAGGGGGGGAUGCAAGUUGGGGGUCAAAACUACCGGCUCAACUGGGAGUCGCAUUGAAAACUGCAGCUCUUGAGUGAAGGAGAGGUAGGCGGAAUUCCUAGUGUAGCGGUGAAAUGCGUAGAUAUUAGGAGGAACACCAGUGGCGAAGGCGGCCUGCUGGGCUUUUACUGACGCUGAGGCUCGAAAGUGUGGGGAGCAAACAGGAUUAGAUACCCCUGUAGUC
rnacentral:rRNA from 1 species